rnacentral:lncRNA from 1 species
ACGCGACGGGCAGAAGAGAGGCAACUCUGAACCCGGAGAGAUGUAGCAGACAUCGGGCUACAUCAGACCAGCCUUGUCUUUGAGCACGUGUUCUGACCAGAUAGGCCUUUCUAGACUAUACCGCUUGUAACUCGCUUUACAAGUUCCACAAGGAUCGCUACCCAUUAUCUCAUCGGAUUAGUGGUUAUGAUGGCAAGUGAGGUUGAUGUCACUGGAAGAGUGAGCAUUAUCCGGAAGGUUCCCGCUCACGGUCCAGCAGGGGGAGCUCGGUUUCUAAGGAGCCACUUUGCACCACCGGGGAGCCUGGCCUUGCCUUAAAGAAUCCAAGGUCCUUCGCUGGCUACUCUGUAUGGCAUCUGAUCACUUGCCAAGGUUGAAAUGUAAGCUCUCAGCUGUUGCUCCUGCACCAUACUGCCUGCUCCCCACCCUGACAGUGAUGGACUCUUAUCUCCUUAGAACCCAAGCCCAAAUAAAUCCUUCCUUCUA